UGGGGAAUAUUGGGCAAUGGGGCGGCAAGCCUGACCCAGCAACGCCGCGUGAAGGAAGAAGGCUUCGGUUGGUAAACUUACUUUUUAAGUAGGGAAGGAAGGC
rnacentral:rRNA from 1 species